UACGAAGGGGGCUAGCGUUGCUCGGAAUCACUGGGCGUAAAGCGCACGUAGGCGGCUCGUUAAGUCAGGGGUGAAAUCCUGGAGCUCAACUCCAGAACUGCCCUUGAUACUGGCGAUCUCGAGUUCGGGAGAGGUGAGUGGAACUGCGAGUGUAGAGGUGAAAUUCGUAGAUAUUCGCAAGAACACCAGUGGCGAAGGCGGCUCACUGGCCCGAUACUGACGCUGAGGUGCGAAAGCGUGGGGAGCAAACAGG
rnacentral:rRNA from 1 species